rnacentral:ncRNA from 1 species
UGAAAAUCUAAGAGAGAAAUAGAUUUCUGAGUGGACUUAAGAAAGCGUUUGGUGAUGAGAAAACGUGUCAAAUCAGAGAUUACACAUUCUUGAGAGUUUUGCUGAACAGGGGUUCCUUGAGUAGGCGAAAACGUGGUCAGCGUUAAUGACAGAGUUUAAGUGGUGACGAUUUUGACUAUGCGGAUAUGUCUCACGAAAAACUUGCUGAGAAAACAGUGGUGACACUGUUUUGAAUAGAGGUGGCACCACGUCAAAACGUCCUUGUG